UUGUAGUCAUUUAUGGUCACCCUGCUAUAGGAAGGAUUGUGUUAAGCUGGUAAGAGUGUAGAGAAGAUAUACGAUAAUGGUGCCAGGACUUGAGGAACUAAGCUACAAAGGGCGAAGUGGAGCUGGUUAG